rnacentral:rRNA from 1 species
AUAUCAAUAAGCGGAGGAAAAGAAACUAACCAGGAUUCCCUCAGUAACGGCGAGUGAAGCGGGAAGAGCUCAGACGUGAAAUCUUCGGAGAUGUCGUCUGGAGAAGCAGGAUGAGGCGCUUGGGCGGGCGAAGUCUUCUGGAAAGAAGCGCCAAGGAGGGUGAUAGCCCCGUGCGCCGCG